rnacentral:tRNA from 2 species
GGCCUGAUGGUCUAGCGGUAUGAUUCUUGCUUCGGGAGUGACAUCUCAGUCUUAUCAAGAGACUAUAGUUUGCGAGAGGUCCCGGGUUCAAUCCCCGGUCAGGCCC